AUCGCUUCUCGGCCUUUUGGCUAAGAUCAAGUGUAGUAUCUGUUCUUAUCAGUUUAAUAUCUGAUACGUCCUCUAUCCGAGGACAACAUAUUAAAUGGGUUUUUGGAACAGGGAGAUGGAAUAGGGGCUUGCUCCGUCCACUCCGCGCAUCGACCUGGUAUUGCAGUACCUCCGGGAACGGUGCACCACCU
rnacentral:snRNA from 1 species